rnacentral:rRNA from 1 species
UACGGGGGGGGCAAGCGUUGUUCGGAAUUACUGGGCGUAAAGGGCUUGUAGGUGGCCACCUAAGUCAGACGUGAAAUCCCUCGGCUUAACCGGGGAACUGCGUCUGAUACUGGAUGGCUAGAGAUUGGGAGAGGGAUGCGGAAUUCCAGGUGUAGCGGUGAAAUGCGUAGAUAUCUGGAGGAACACCGGUGGCGAAGGCGGCAUCCUGGACCAACACUGACACUGAAAAGCGAAAGCCAGGGGAGCAAACGGG